rnacentral:lncRNA from 11 species
AGGGAAGGGAAAAAACUUCAGAAAAAGGGCCGGCUUUCUGAAAGGGAAGAGGGAAUUCCCUGACAGCUGACUUUGAAGAAAAUAAGAAGAAAAUGAAAGCCUCCCUAGAGAGGGAGUUUCAAAGUUCUGUGAACAAAGUCUGGGAAGGUCCUC